UCAUUGGUAGUUCAGUGGUGGAGCUCUCACUUUUUGUGACGGAAACCUGGGUUCAAUUCCUGGCCAAUGCA
rnacentral:tRNA from 1 species